AGAAAGGAAACCUGGUGAAGGGGAUGAAGGAUGGUCAACGGUCAAAUACAAAUAACUCUGGACAACUAUAACAUACUGGACAGUGGAAUUUAUUACAAUCUUUUUAUUGACCAACUCAUAUUUAUUGAACACUUCUUAUUGGACAACUUUACCAUAAUGAAUGACUAAUCUUAUUCAACAACUGUCAGAUAUUGAUCAUGUAAUAAUAUUAAACCACUAAUAACUUCUUCUUGGACAACUUUACCAAAAUGAAUGAUUCUUCUUAUAAGACAACUGUCAGAUACUGAGCAUGUUAAAUUAAACAACUGUGAAAUACUGAAAUCUUCUUAUUGGUCAAUCUGAUGCUGAUUACUUCUUCUUUAAUAUACUAUAAGUUGAUUUUGAAUACAAUUUAACAUAGACUUACUUCCACUAUUUUUACAAAGCAAACAACUUAAUAUUGAACAGCUGUGCUAUACAGAACAUUUGAUACAAACAUUGUACAGUACUACACACUUACAAAAAAAUCAGUUAUUUAUUGUCAUUUUAAGCUGUAGCAUACAUGUAUGUGUGUCUUGUUGUAUUUCAUUUUUAUUGCCGUUUUUGAAAUUAUUGUUUGGAGAGUAGAUGGGCAUUCAUUCUUUAAAAUGAAUUAUUGGUGCAUUGUACAUUGCUAUAUUUCCCAUUAAAUCUUAUAAAAAUAUUUAGAAUUCUGAAAACAAAACAAAAUAUAUUGUGGGUUUGGAAUUUAAGUGCCCUCCUAAAUAUAUAUACACAUUGAAUAAUGGUAAUCUACAUUUAUAUUUUCUAGAUUAUUCAACAACUAGAUGCAUGUAUAUGAUAAAUUUGUAGGAACAGUUAUUAUAAUUUAUUAAUGUUGUUAAUGGUUUUCUUUGUCAUUUGAAAUGUAUGGCUAUUACAAAAUUUAUGUAAUUGAAGUGCUAAUUGUUAAAUAAUUAUGACAUUGAUUGUAAAAUAAAUUUUAAUUGCACAAUUUGUAUCAGUUGUCCUCCGGCAUGUCUAUUCUACUGGAAAUUAUACCCCAACAGUAAUAGGGAAACUGAUAAAAUUGAGAAUGAAAAUGAGGAAUAUGUCAAAGAGACAACAACCCGACAAAAGAGCAGAAAACAGCCAAAGGCCACCAAUAGGUUUUCCACAUAAUGGGUAAAAUCCUGCACCCUGAGGCUGGCCUUCAAAUAAAAAUGGGCACAAAAAUGUUGCAAGGUUAAACAUGGUUGGUGAAAUCUCCCUCUAUACCUCUAGCCUAUGUAGAAUCAACAAACACGCACAAUAUGCACAGUAAAACUCAGUUUUAAAGAAGUCCGAGUCUGAUGUCAUAACAGGCAACAAAAGAAACUAAGCAAAAUGUCAUUGAUAAAUAAAUUAACAAAGGACUAAACAGACAUGAUUUCCUGCUAUUUCAAAGUUCUUUAAGCUUUGCACAUUUUUUAGUCUCCUACUGACAAAAUCUUAAGGUUUGCACUCCGUCUGUCUGUGAGUCCAGCAAGUCAGUUUUCCACACUUUAUUAGUCCCCUACUGACAAAGUUUUGAUUUGAUAUUUUUAUCAUGACAAGUAAAAAGUUCGAUUUUCAUGAUUUUAGCUCUCCUUGUUCAGUUAAAGCCCUUUCCCUAGAAUUAAAGAAAUACUUGCUUAUAACUAGAUUUUUGUUCUAAGGGAAAUAACUCAUUUUUUAAAAGAUUUGUAAAAGACAUUGUAUAAAGAUAAAUGGAAUUUUGGAUUAUUUUUUUUCGUUUUCUUUAGUAAGUUGUUUGAAGAAUGAAGUAGUUUGUUGAUUUAUGUAGUUUACACCCUGACAAGUUACAGAUCAAGUUGGAAUUUUGUUUCAUUACAAUGAGUUUUUUACCGUUGGGGGACUGUAUUGCGCAAUACUCACAGAAUGCUUGUUUCUUCAUGUGUAAAGAUAUUGAUUUGAUAUUUAUACCCCACGCAACGAAGUUGCGGAGGGUAUAAUGUUUUUGACCCGUCAGUCCGUCCUGUUUCUUGUCAUCGCAACUCCUCUCAAACCACACAACAGAAUUUCACGAAACCUUUUCAGAUAAUAAGGACAUACUAUGUAGUUGUGCAUAUCGACGGGAAAUUGCGAUUCAAUUUUUUUUCUAGGAGUUACGCCCCUUUGAACUUAUUUACUUUAAUGUACUACUGCAACAGUUUGUCAUCGCAAAUUCUCUCAAACCACAAAACAGAAUUUCACGAAACUUUGUAGAUAAUAAGGACAUACUAUGUAGAUGUGCAUAUCAACAGGAAAUUACGGUUCAAUUUUUUUUCUAGGAGUUAAGCCCCUUUGAACUUAUUUACUUCAAUGUACUUCUGCAACAGUUUGUCAUCUCAACUCCUCUGAAAACACACAACAGAAUUUCAUGAAAUUUUGUAGAUAAUAAGGACAUACUAUGUAUAUUGACAGGAAAUUAUUAUUCAAUAUUUUUUUUAUACAAUUUUUUUUUCUUGUACUUAUUUAAUUUCUCCAAUGACAAUGUGGGGACGUGGGGUAUGUGAGCGUGCUCACUAAGGUUCUUUAAUUGGUAUAUAGUUUGAUUGUUGAGUCUGCGGCGCAGAAAGCUUGACAUAGGAUAGUGAUCAGGUGGCGGCGUUAGCUAACUUCUUAAAAGUUUUAUAUUUUAGAAGGAGGAAGACCUGGAUGUUCAUACUUUGUAUAUAGAUGCCUCAUGUUACGAAGUUUCUGUCGGUCACAUGUCCAAUGUCCUUGACCUCAUUUUCUUUGUUCAGUGGCUACAUGAAAAAAGUUAAAAAAAAAAAAAAAAAAAAAAAAAAAAAAAAAAUGUCCAUCUGACCUUGACCUCAUUUUCAUGGUUCAGUGGUUAUAGUUAAGUUUAGUGUUUUGGUCUUUUCUUUCUUUAAACUAUGCAAUAGGUCAACUAUAUCUGGUGUAUGGAAUGAUUUUAAGGUGUACAUGUCUAGCUAGCAGGUGUCAUCUGACCUUGACCUCAUUUUCAUGGUUCAGUGGUCAAAGUUAAGUUUUUGAGUUUUGAUCUUUUUCUAAUACUAUAUGCAAUAGGUGAACUAUAUAUUUGGUGCAUGGAAAUAUUUUAUGAUCUAUAUGUCAGUCAUGCAGGUUUAAUUUGACAUUGGCCUCAUUUUCACGGUGCAUUGCUCAGUGUUAAGUUCUUUUUUUUUGGUCUGUUUUUCUUAAACUUUUAGCAAUAGGUCAACUAUAUUUGUUGUAUGGAAGAAUUGUUAGCUGUACAUGUCUGCCCGGUAUGGUUCAUCUGACCUUGACCUCAUAUUCAUUCAUCAUGAUUAGUUUUUUUUGGUUAAUGUUAAGUUUAUGUGAAAGUUGUAAUAAAGCUUUUAUUUAGAACUAUAAUAUAAUAAGUAAGAAGAGAAAUUUCAGCUUGUGCACGCUUGCGCACAGUUACAGACACAAGUUGAGAAUUAUGUUCUGAGAAUGAUAAUUAUAUCCCCAAGGGUUGCAAGGGUUUAAUUUUUUUUGACCCGUCAGUUCCUCAGUUCUUGUUUCGCAACACUUCCAUUCAAACCACUGAAACCACACAACGAAUUUCAUGAAAUUUUGUAGAUAAUAAGAACUUAAGAUGUGCAUAUUGACAGGAAAUUAUUAGUCAUUAUUUUUUCUUAUACAAUUUUUUUUUCUUACACUUAUUUAAUUUCUCAAAUGACAAUGUGGGGACGUGGGGUAUGUGAGCGUGCUCACUAAGGUUCUUUAAUUUAUGCAAAGUAAUGGUCCUUGGACAUAAAAAAUUCACUGAGUAUUCAGUUUCCACACUUUUUAUACGACCGCAAAAAUAGAAAAUUUUUUGGUCUAUAUUGGUAUCACGUUGGCGUCGUCGUCGUCCGAAGACAUUUGGUUUUCGCACUCUAACUUUAGUAAAAGUAAAUAGAAAUCUAUGAAAUUUAAACACAAGAUUUAUGACCAUAAAGGUAUGGAUUGAUUUUGGGUGUUUUGGUCCCAACAGUUUAGGAAUUAGGGGCCAAAAAGGGCCCAAAUAAGCAUCCCAUAUGUAGGUAAAGUUGGUAUUUUGCUACUAAGGUGGGGGAAAUAUAUAAUUUCAAAAGAAAAAUCGUUUUGUUUGUCAUAGAUUCAAAAUUUAACUUAUCCAAUACUUUCCAUAUAAACUAAUUAACUGCCUACAAAAUAAGAUGAAGUAUACAAAUGUUAUCCAAGCUUCAAUAAAGGGGAGAUAUAUACAGGGAUUGUCACUUUCAAGUCUUUAGAUAUAUUACUACAUAAAAGGGUUCAGUGGACAUGGAUGCUUCAUUUCUUGUAUACGUAUACCUUAUGGUACAAAGUGUCCGUCAAUCAUAUGUCCAUUGUCCUUUACCUCAUUUUCAAGGUUAAGUGACUGCUAGGAAAUUUUUUUUUGGCAUGUGAAUUUCUCAAUCAUUCGGAUAACUUUGGAAAGUGGGUUCCUUGCAACAUCUGUCACAGAUUUCACCUGACCUCAACCUCAUUUCAUGGAUCAAAGAUUACGGUUAGAAGUUCCGUGAUUAGGUCUGUUUAUCAAAUAACAGUUUUAGUGUAUAGAAUGAUAACAUUGGGUACAUAUCAGUCUGACAGGUUUCAUCGGACUGUGACAUCAUUUUCAUGGUUCUGUGGUCAAUGUUAAGAUUUUGUGUUUUUGUCUGUUUUCCAAGUACAAUAGGCAAAAGGUCAACUAUGGUUGAUGUAAGAAAUAACUUCUGGUGUACAUGUCUGACUGGCAGGUAUUUUUAACUAUCAGACAUUAACCUCAUUGUCAUUGAUUUUUAAAAAAUGUUAAGUUUCUGUAGUGAUUUUAAUAAAACCUGUAUCUUUUAAGACUCAACAUAAAAUCAAUUGUCAGUAAAGAAGGCUAGACAUUUUUGCAUGUGCAAUCUUGUUUAAACAAAUCAUUUAGGAUCAUCGUAACAAUCUCAAGCAAAAUGCUGAAAUUCAGCACAUUUAUUAUAGGGUUUACUGUGAACUCUAACCUCCAACUGCACUUAAAAGUUUAGUUGUGUGAAGUUGAAAUUAUAUUGAAAUAUUACAAGUUACCCUUAUCCACUCUUUAAUUUUUGCUGUCAUUCGAUAUUUUGAUAUUGUAUCUAAUGGAAGCCAAAGAGCUAAGAUAGAACCACUGGCAGAAAAUCUUGCAAUCCUAAUUAAUUAAGACCACAGUCAAACGUAAAAAUGUACAGGGUUUGAUCUCGCAAUCUCAAAGUUUACAGGCUAGUGAUAUUAUCUGUUGAGGCCCCCUUUUCAGUUUGAUAAUCAUGCAUAGUAGUAAUGAAUGAUACAUGUAUAUAUGUAUUAAUAACAAAACUAUGUUGAGAUUUAAAUUUUAUUCUAAAAUGUAAAUAACAAUCUAACAGAUUUUGGAAAAUAAAGAACACAGUCUGGAGAAGACAUGACAAACAUCCACAAUAAAUCUUCACAAUAUAGCACUUCACACAAAAAAUACCAUUUUUUACUCCAAGCAUGCAAAGUCUCCACAUCUGACACAAUAAGGUUACUCUUAUAUGAAAACUGAAUACAAAGUGUUGAAAACAAAAUUAGUAUUGCAGCAAAUUCACUAAAUUAUUAAGCAGAUUUUUUAAACGGAUGCACUAAAAGUUGUAUAAAAUAGCUGCCACAUUUUUAAACAAAUUUUUGACUUUCAAUUUUCAUGUUUACAUAAGAAUCUACAUAUACCAAAAUACAUUUUACAAAAUUGACAUAAAUAACCCAGUUGAAUCUGACAUCUUAAAAAUAUAACAUCACUGUUUAUAAAGAAGCUUUGGUAUUUCAGAUUGUCACUGGUUGAAAAUUUUUCAAGUUGCAGUAUGAAUUCACUUUCCCAAACUGGGCUUCUGGUGAAAAACCUUUAAAAGACCACUGAAGCAUCAAUACUAGAUGGAAGCCUGCUUUACUGUAUGUAGAUAUGGCAAGACAUCUAUAUUCUAUACCAAAAACACUCAUCAUAGAUAACAGGAUUAAAAUUUUAAAUAUUUGCCAGACACGCGUUUCAUCUACAAAAGACUCAUCAGUGACGCUCGAAUCAAAAAUAUCAAGUUACAAUUGUUAAUUUCAAUUCUGUAAAAUUUAAAUUGUGCCAAAAAUAAUCUUUCUACAUAAAUAUAGUAAAUAUAUUUCAAGAGCAAGGAAGUACUAGCAUAUACAUAUAUCACAGAUCAGCCAAUAAAUUAAGGAUUAUUAAAAAUAUACAUGUAUGAGUAUAUCUGGCUCUAAAUUAUUUGUUAAUAAUAAUAAAACCUUGGAUUUUUAUCAUGGUAAUAUAGGGGAUUGUAUUAUUAUUACUACACACAAAACAUGCUCACACUUUCAUGAAAAUAGUGUCACAACAUGAAAGCCCCCCGUCUCCACCUACUAUGGAAGAUACAAUGUAAAAUUGAGAAUGGAAAUGGGGAAUGUGUCAAAGAGACAACAACCCGCCCAAAUAAAAAACAACAGCAGAGGGUCACCAACAGGUCUUCAAUGUAGCGGAAAUUCCGCACCCGGAGGCGUCCUUCAGCUGGCCCUAAACAAAUAUAUACUAGUCAGUGAUAAUGAACGCCAUACUAAAUUUCCAAAUUGUACACAAGGAAACUAAAUUAAAAAUAAUACAAGACUACUAAAAAGGCCAGAGGCUCCUGACUUGGGACAGCGCAAAAAUGCGAGGGGUUAAUGUUUGUGAGAUCUCAUUCCCCUAUACCUCUAACAAUUGUAGUAAAGUAAACGCAUAACAUACGCAAUUAAAAUUCAGUUCAAGAGAAAUCCGGUCUAGAAGAUGUAAAAAGAAAAUAAACAAAAUGACAAAAUACAUAAUAAAACAGACUUACUAGCAGUUAACUGACAUGCCAGCUCCAGACUUCAACUAAAUGACUGAAAGAUUUAUGAUUUCAUUAUAUGAACAUCAGGCACAAUCCUUCCCGUUAGGGGUUUAGUAUCAUACCAUCAUAACAUAUAUGAGAAGAACAUAACCCGUGUCAUGCCAACAACUGUUUUUAGAAUAAAUGUGUUUAGUUCCGAUGCAAAGACCUUAUCAGGACUCAAUAUUACGCCAAAAUAUGCAAUUUUAAUGACUUGACAACAGUAUCUAUUAUAUCCCUUCUUAAUAAAGUCAUUCAAAGGUUUUGUAAGUUCUGAGUGAAACUGACACCUUUGUGCUUUAUAAAGAAUAUUACCAUAAAAAAUUGGAUGGGGAAAUACCUGAACGUAUUAGAAGUUGUCUGUUCAUCUGAAAUAUUUACGAUAGAUCUUUAUACCGAUGAUAAAAUUUAGUAAACGUUUUGACUGUUUGUGAUAUCGAAAACCCUGGUGUAAUAAAUUUUUCAGUAAUACACAAAUUAACUCGUUAAAAUCUAAAACAUUGUUUUACAACACGAGCGAAUCGUACAAGUUGAAGAUAUAAAACACCGAUUGAAUUUACAAGGGUCACCAUCUAAAAACGGAUAAUUAACGAUAGGAGAAAAAUCAUCCUUUAUCAUAAAUUUUUAGUAUUCAGCUUUCCAUUAGUGAUAUAGAUAUAUAAUGUGACUAUUAGGUCAACCAUAACAAACCACAAAAAAACUUCAUAACAUAUUACUAAGCAUAUUAUCACAAAAAAGAGUUCAAUAUCUGAAAAGGACAGUUUAAAGAUUUUUUUAAAUCCAACUAUGAAAGUUAAGUCAGACAGAUACUACGGCUGCUGAAAUCCAAAAUCCAAUAUCUUCUGUAACAGCUAAUGUUGGAGAACCUGUUCUACAGAGGAAUAAGAAAAUGAUUGACAUGAGGAAACUACUUAUAUUGGAGAUGGCAUAAUAAAUAUAUAUAUAUAUAUAUCUGCUACAUAAAUAUAACCUAUUCAUUAUCUAAUUAUAUUCAGUUUUGAAUUUUAAAGAGAUAAGAUUUUUAAGUAUUUGUAUAUUUUUAAUAUACUGAUAUGCAGUUUGAUUGAAUUGAAGAUUCUGUAGAUACCAACUUGUUUUGGGAUGUUUUCAUUUUUGCACAAACUUCGGAAUUGAAAGUGUUUUUAUGUACUAAAAAUAAAGACAAAAUCCUAUGCCAUUAAUUAUUGGUUAUUAUUUUCCAUCUUAAAACUAGCAAUGAUGAUACAAUAUAUCAGCUCAAUAACUUGAAUUAAUUACAGCAAUAAUAACAAAUAGUGAGUUUUCAUACUUUUACAAAUAUCAGCCUCAUUUUAAAACAAUAUCUUUAUGCAACACUGCUGACAUUAUACAAGGGUCUGAUUGUUCUUCAUUUCUUUAUUCUUUCAACUUUUUAAAACUUUUUUUAAAACUUUUUUUAUUUAUUUUUACCCUGAUUCUGUAUUCUUUAUAUUUCAGCACCCCAUCAUUCUCUAUUCUUUACUUUUUGGUCUAUUUUCUCUCUAUUUAAUAUAUGUUUGCCUUGUAUUUUGCACCUUUUAUACUUUAUUCUUAUUCAGUAACACAUCCAAACCUACAUAUACCUAGACUGAUACACAUUUUCAGAGGUUCUAAUAUCUAUAAAACAUUCAAUGUAAAUAAAAAAUACUACAAGUGGACAUAAUAUUAUAAUUACAAUAACAUAAACAAUAACAAUUAUGGCAAUUUAUAAUUAACAAGGAAAAAGGUUAAAGCUCAGUUUACCGGUAUAAUCAUUGUUAUAAUUCUUUACAACAAAUAAUUUUGAGGUUGUGUUAAAUUUGUCCUAUCAGAGAUUUCCAUAGAAGGGAAGUGACAUAACUACUUUAUCUGAAAAAUCUAUCAUGAAUGUGUAAUAAAAGAUCAAAACAUGAUUUGCUUUAACACUAGAGAGAAAGUGCAUUUACUUUAAUUACAAAAAAAGUCAGAUAUUUCAACAUAUAUCAUAAAUACACUACAGUGAAUUUACGCAGCUUAACCAAAACAAGAUUAGUUGUCAAAUAAAUAUUUUUACAUCUAUGAGUAUUGUCUAAUUUUAAUUACAUCCAUUUACAUAUGUGUAUAUUUCAAUGUAACUAACUAAUUUUAUUCAGUAAACAUGUAUACAAAUAGGAAUUGAUAGACUUCAUUUUCAAGUUAUACUACCUAAUCACCUUAUCAAAUAAAAUCUAUCUACAAAUAAAUCAAAAUUAAUGCAAAAUGAUGGUACAUGAAAGGCCACAUUUUUGCUGUUUAAAGUUUUCACAUAUAUCCUCAAGAUUUUCUUUAAUGAUAAGCCUUCUGUCAAUGACAAGACAAGACAAGACAAUGAAAUUGGUGAAAGGAUGACAUGGAUUUGAUAGUCUUAAUAAACGAGGUAGCUUUUUCUUUUGAGUAUAACUAGCUAUUAAAAUAAAAUGAACAUACUAAAAUAAAUUCUAGCAUAAAAUGUUCACAAAUAUGACAUACAAACUAACUAACCAUGGGUAAUUUAAUGAGAUGUGCACCAAAAAAGCAUAUAAAUAACAUAAUCUAACGAGUUAAUCCUAUAAUAUUCAGUAAGUGUAUACAUAUUGUAAUGUGUAUAGUAUACCUUAUUUAAUGCAAAUCAUUUGAUUAAUAUAUUUUGUAUGAUCAAACACUCACUAAAGGUUGAAAUGAGUUUUCUAUCAUCAUGAAUAACAACCUUUUACAAGAUAUAUUUUCCCUUUACAUAUAUUAUAUUACCAUAUCUAAAUGAAAAAUCAUUUCAGAAGUUAUUAAGUUACAUAGAAUUUUGGAAAACUUCAACAAUACAUUUUUUCAACUUAAACAAUAUCACUAUUAAAAAGUGAACAUAUUGGAUAUCAAAAUAAAACAAUCAAAUAAAUAAAAAGAAGAUUUUAUAACUUUUGAAUAACUUUUCUGUAAAAUGCAGUUCUUAUAACUGAACAAAAAUAAAAAGAGAUUGAUCUUAUAACUGAAAUAUAAUAUAAAGCGAUAUAUGGCAAUAAUAUAUGAUGAAGACUUAUUAUCUAUUACUAACAAAUAUCUAAAUGAAAACUGUUAUCAUUAAGAAAUCAUCAUAUCAUUAGCUAUUACAAAAAUAACUAUAAAUGAUUUAUGGACUAUUAUAAUUUACUAUAUUCAACACUGAACAAUCCAUUUAGCACCAUAUAAAGGGACAUUAGCACUACAUGUUAUAACAAUUUACAUAUAUGAUGAUAUGCUUUUGUACAAAUGACAGUGAAACAAUUCACCUUUAAACAUCUUCAUUAUUUCUGACAAAUUUCAGUUAUAGAAAAAAUUGUAAUGUAUUUAUAUUGAAAUUUGAAAAAUUAUUUAAUUUCAAUUUUUAAACAUUUCUAUUAUAAUAUAGUAAUUAGUCAACUAAAAAUAGCUAUAAUUUAAAUGCACAACAAUCAGAUCUGUGAGUAUUCAUGAUCUAAAAUAAGAAUAUGAGUAUUUCUCUCAUAAUAUAAAAUCUUUGGUGGCUGAGUGAUAUCGCUGUUCGUGCUUACAUCCUGGGUUUUUAAAAUUAUUGAAUAGUCAAUGGAACAGAAUCAUUAAAAAACUGUUUUAAUUAUCACAAAUCUGAUGGAUGAUAAGCUCAUAUAAUAUAGUAAUGCCCAAUUCAAUUGCUAUGAAUAUCAUGUUGUUUAAGUGAUUUUUAACUAAAUAACUAAAUGAUUGUAUUCUAAUGCUACAAUAUAGCAGAACAUCAAUAUAUAUAUAUAUAUUACAAAGGUCCUUUUUGGUAUAAUUUCAUAGCUUUUAUAAACUAAAACAGCUAUCAUUAAAAAUAAUAUCAUGAUAUGAUUUGAUUUGAUAUAAUAUAAAAAUGUAUUGUCUAGUCAUCAAAAUAAAGUGAUAUGAUAUGGGUUUCACCUAAGAAAAGAUACCUGUUAAAAUCAUCAUUAAUUAAAGGUAUUGUACAAGCAAUACACCAUGUAUAUAUCAAACUAACAAAAAAUAACUGACUGAUAAAAAAAGGUGCCUGGCAGAUAAAAUGGUAGAUAAAAGAACAAUUUAUACAUCAAAUAGUUAGGAUUAGCUUCAAACAAUUUCAUAUUAAAAAUGGUUAAUUUAAAAACAAAAUGCACAAAAGGUGAUAUGUUUCAUAUUAACAACGUCUGGUUUGAUUAUUGUGAAAAUAUUUUAAAACAUAUUGUACCAUAGGUAUUCUCUUAACAAGUAGAAGCUAAAAUGCUUUUCUGUUAUACAUUUAUACAACAUCUUUGUGUUUAUUAAACAAUGCAUACCACAUGCUUUUGUCAUACAUUUAUACCACAUAUUUUUUAUCAUGGUAAAUUUCAGCUGCUUUCUCUUUUUGUUAGCAAGGUACAUUCCUAUGACCAGGAUAAACUUCUCUG
rnacentral:lncRNA from 1 species